GACAGAGGGUGCAAACGUUGUUCGGAAUUACUGGGCGUAAAGCGUGUGUAGGCGGCUAUGUAAGUCGGAUGUGAAAGCCCCGGGCUCAACUCGGGAAGUGCACUCGAUACUGCGUAGCUUGAGUACCGGAGAGGUUGGUGGAAUUCUCGGUGUAGAGGUGAAAUUCGUAGAUAUCGAGAGGAACACCGGUGGCGAAGGCGGCCAACUGGACGAGUACUGACGCUGGAGACACGAAAGCGUGGGGAGCAAACAGG
rnacentral:rRNA from 1 species